AACGAACGCUGGCGGCAGGCUUAACACAUGCAAGUCGAGCGCCCCGCAAGGGGAGCGGCAGACGGGUGAGUAACGCGUGGGAAUCUACCCAUCUCUACGGAAUAACGCAUGGAAACGUGUGCUAAUACCGUAUACGUCCUUCGGGAGAAAGAUUUAUCGGAGAUGGAUGAGCCCGCGUUGGAUUAGCUAGUUGGUGGGGUAAAGGCCUACCAAGGCGACGAUCCAUAGCUGGUCUGAGAGGACGAUCAGCCACACUGGGACUGAGACACGGCCCAGACUCCUACGGGAGGCAGCAGUGGGGAAUAUUGGACAAUGGGCGCAAGCCUGAUCCAGCCAUGCCGCGUGAGUGAUGAAGGCCCUAGGGUUGUAAAGCUCUUUCACCGGUGAAGAUGAUGACGGUAACCGGAGAAGAAGCCCCGGCUAACUUCGUGCCAGCCGCCGCAGUAAAAC
rnacentral:rRNA from 1 species